rnacentral:lncRNA from 10 species
AACAGAUUUAGGAAGACUUGGUGUUUUUAUCUGGAUACCCAUCAUUCUGGCCCUUACAAUUAGAGAUUAUGGAAAAGUUUUGCUGGCCGAGAAAAAAGACCCAAGGGAGUAACAUAUUAUUUUCUACAAGGAUGUUCUAAAACUGCUCAGGCCUGUGAGUGAAAUGAUUUGCUGCACUGCAAGGGAGGGUCUUUCACAGACGAAAGGUUCUUAAUUUGAUGAAGUUCAGUUUAUCACCUUUUCCUUUUUAUUCAUCAUGCAUUUGAUGUCAAGUCAAAGAACUCUGCCUACCCAUAAAUCUCUAAGGUUUUCUCCCGAGUGUUUUCCUAAAAAUUUUAGUUUCACAUGUAAGUCUGUGAUCUACUUUGAGUUAAUUUUUGUAUAAGGUGUGAGACUUAGGGGGGUGUGUGUGUAUGCAUGCACACAUGAGCACACCUAGGCUAUCUCUAGUAUCAUGUGUUCAUUUGUUGAAAAGAUACUCUUUCCUCCAUUAAAUUGUUUUUAUGCCUUUGUCAAAAAUCAGUUGGGCAUAUUUGUGUGGGUCUGCUUCUAGGUUCCCUGUUUCAUUUCAGUGUUCCAUGUGUCUGUCUCCACCAAUACCACCCUGUUUUGAUUACUACAGCUAAAUAGUAAUCCUUAACAUUGGUAGAGUGAUUCCUCUCCUUUACCCUUCUUUUCCUUUUUUUCUUUUCUAUUUUUUUUUUUCUUUUUUGAGACGGAGUUUCACUGUUGUUGCCCGGGCUGGAGUGCAAUGGCAUGAUCUUGGCUCAUUGCAACCUCCACCUCCUGAGUUCAAGUGAUUCUCCUGCCUCAGCCUCCCAGGUAGCCUGGCCUAUCCUUCUUUUUCAAAACUGUUGUAGCUAUUCUAGUCCUGCACAUUUCAAUAUAAAUUUUAGGAUAACCUUAUCUAUGUUGACAAAAUAUUCUUGCUGAGAUUUUAUAGUAACUGCAUUAAUCCUAUUGAUAAUUUGGUGACAGCUGACAUUUUUAGUAUGUUGAUUCUUCCAAUCCAGAAAUCCAGUAUAUCUCUGCAUUUAUUUAGGUCUUCUUUGAUUUAGUUAAUCAACAUUUAAAAAUUUUCAGGACACAGAUCCUCUACACGUUCUGUUACAUUUCUAUCUAAGUAUUUCAUUUUCUUUGGAGCAAUUGUAAAUGGUAUUGUGCUUUGAAUUUUGGUUUUCACAUGUUCAUUGUUAGUAUACAGAAAUGUGAUUGAUUUUUAUAUGUUGAUCUUGUAUCCUGCAAACUUGUUGCACUACUUAUUAAUCCUAGAAGUUUCAUUGUGGAUUUCUUAUGAUUUUCUAUAAUUAUCCACCUGUGAAUAGGGACAGUUUUAUUUCUUCGUAUCCAAUAAAUAUGCCUUUUAUUUCC